CUCAAAUUUGAAAUCUGGCCCCUCCGGGGUCCGAGUUGUAAUUUGCAGAGGAUGCUUCGGGCGCGGUCCCCGUCUAAGUACCCUGGAACGGGUCGUCAUAGAGGGUGAGAAUCCCGUCUGGGACGGGUGGCCGUGUCCGUGUGAAGCUCCUUCGACGAGUCGAGUUGUUUGGGAAUGCAGCUCUAAAUGGGUGGUAAAUUUCAUCUAAAGCUAAAUAUUGGCCGGAGACCGAUAGCGCACAAGUAGAGUGAUCGAAAGAUGAAAAGCACUUUGAAAAGAGAGUUAAACAGCACGUGAAAUUGUUGAAAGGGAAGCGCUUGCGACCAGACUCGCCCGCGGGGGUUCAGCCGGUACUCGUACCGGUGUACUCCCCCGGGGCGGGCCAGCGUCGGUUUGGGCGGUCGGUCAAAGGCCUCCGGAAUGUGUCGCCCCCCGGGGCGUCUUAUAGCCGGAGGUGCAAUGCGGCCAGCCUGGACCGAGGAACGCGCUUCGGCUCGGACGCUGGCGUAAUGGUCGUAAGCGGCC
rnacentral:rRNA from 1 species